AAAACAUUGCCAUUUUUAUUUGUUUUUUUUUUUCCUUUUUUAAAUUGCAAAAUUAAAUGAAAAACAGGGAACACCGCUUUUAACUACAAAAACAUCCAUUCAUUACUGAUGCAAAAUGUUGCAUAAUGAAACACAUGAGAUGGCUCUUACAAUGGACCAUUACGUUUCGGGCAAAACGUAUGGCUUUCAUGCAAACAAGAAGUGAAAAACAGAAAUACUACUC
rnacentral:lncRNA from 1 species